GUUCGCUAUCUUAUUUUGCCACCUUCAAUUUAGGCUAUCUCACUAUACCAUCAAACUACGCCUGACUGUCAUCAAACAUCACGUGGUUCUCUACGUUCCAAUAAAGCCAUUUUCCUACAUCCUAUCCAAUCUGGCUAUACUUAAGGAUAUCCAAACCUGUCUAAUGUGCUAGAUUCAGCCACCUUAAAAUCCCUCACUAACUCUGAAACUGCUAUUAGCUGACCUUUUACGACUUCCUGA